UCUGUUGACCAGAUGAUUCAAAUCUCUUGAUUUUCCGUUUGGUUCUCGAGAAAAAUUUGGAUUUUCUCGGCAAACAAACGGAUUCGUAAUUUUUGAAUCAUAUGUUUUUUAUUGUUGUGAAAUUGAGAAUUUCGUUUGUGUUUUUGUGUGAUUAGGCGUUUUUUUGUGGAAGUUUUUGGAUUUUUGAAGAUGAACAAACGAAUGGAUUUGCGUUUUUCUGUGGAAGUUUUCGGAUUUUUGAGGAUGAAUCAAUUGUAUCAUCGGAAGAACGCCUUCGGCGCGCGUGAGGAGACGGGCUGUCUGUCGUUUGUCCGAAGCCACGACGAGUUGGGAUUUUGGCGAACAAUUGUACUAGGCCCUUGAGAUGGCAAUUGAGUCAUCCAGUUGGGGUGUCUGAUUCAAAGGCCGGGGCAGGGCUUCUAGACAUCAUUCUCAUGAAGGUAAUUGGUGAGGCCGAUUUUCAGCGCAAUAGGGAUUUGGAGAAAGUAAUUUUCUUUUUUAUGUGUAUAUUUUUCUUUGUAAUAAACUUCGUUUCAAUUUAUUUGUGCUGGAUUUUGAAAUUUUGUUUGUAUGUUGGAAGUUUUUGGUUGAUUCUGGUCUGUAUGAGAGUGAAGAAGAUGCAAAGAAAAAAGAAGUAAUUUGGCCCUUGAUCGGGUAACUUACCAGUUUAUUUGAGUUGUUUUGUUGUUGGCCCACUUAUGCUCAAAAGACAAAACUCAACUUGGAGAUUUUAUCCGACUGGAUAGGUUUAAUUUAAUAAACUUUCAUGUGAUG